UGGGGAAUAUUGCGCAAUGGGGGAAACCCUGACGCAGCGACGCCGCGUGUGGGAUGAAGGUCUUCGGAUUGUAAACCACUGUCGCGAGGGACGAAGCUCUGACGGUACCUCGAAAGGAAGCACCGGCUAACUCUGUGCCAGCAGCCGCGGUAAUACAGAGGGUGCGAGCGUUGUCCGGAAUCACUGGGCGUAAAGGGCGCGUAGGCGGCCCGGUAAGUAGGGGGUGAAAUCUCAUGGCUCAACUGUGAGGCUGCCUUCUAGACUGCCAGGCUUGAGCACAGUAGAGGCGAGUGGAAUUCCCGGUGUAGCGGUGGAAUGCGUAGAGAUCGGGAAGAACAUCGGUGGCGAAGGCGGCUCGCUGGGCUGUUGCUGACGCUGAGGCGCGAAAGCGUGGGGAGCAAACAGGAUUAGAUACCCAAGUAGUCCCUGAGCGGGCUGGCAAGGCGCAU
rnacentral:rRNA from 1 species